rnacentral:hammerhead_ribozyme from 1 species
AUUCAGCUGACGAGUCCCAAAUAGGACGAAGCGAAGCGCGUUCUUGAU